CUCGCUGCACCGAGACUGUGCUGGC
rnacentral:piRNA from 1 species